GUGCCACACUCACUUCAGUAACACAUGUACUAAAAUUGAAUGAUACAGAGAAGAUUAGAAUGGCCCCUGCACCUCCAUGACAUGCAAAUUUGUGAAGCAUUCUGUAUUUUU